UACGUAGGGGGCAAGCGUUGUCCGGAAUUAUUGGGCGUAAAGAGCUCGUAGGCGGUCUGUCGCGUCGGAUGUGAAAGCCCGGGGCUCACCCCCGGAAGUGCAUUGGAAACUGGCGGACUCGAGUCCCGGAGAGGAGAGUGGAAUUCCUGGUGUAGCGGUGAAAUGCGUAGAUAUCAGGAGGAACACCGAUGGCGAAGGCAGGUCUCUGGGCCAUAACUGACGCUGAGAAGCGAAAGCAUGGGGAGCGAACAGG
rnacentral:rRNA from 1 species